UACGUAGGGGGCAAGCGUUGUCCGGAAUUAUUGGGCGUAAAGCGCGUUUAGGCGGCUUGGUAAGUCUGGUGUGAAAACUUGGGGCUCAACCCCAAGCCUGCACUGGAUACUGCCUGGCUAGAGUCCGGGAGGGGAGAGCGGAAUUCCCAGUGUAGCGGUGAAAUGCGCAGAUAUUGGGAAGAACACCGGUGGCGAAGGCGGCUCUCUGGAACGGUACUGACGCUGAGACGCGAAAGCGUGGGGAGCGAACAGG
rnacentral:rRNA from 1 species